AACGAACGCUGGCGGCAUGCCUAACACAUGCAAGUCGAACGAGACCUUCGGGUCUAGUGGCGCACGGGUGCGUAACGCGUGGGAACCUGCCCUUAGGUUCGGAAUAACUCCCCGAAAGGGGUGCUAAUACCGGAUAAUGUCUUCGGACCAAAGAUUUAUCGCCUUUGGAUGGGCCCGCGUUGGAUUAGCUAGUUGGUAGGGUAAAAGCCUACCAAGGCGACGAUCCAUAGCUGGUCUGAGAGGAUGAUCAGCCACACUGGGACUGAGACACGGCCCAGACGCCUAGGGGGGGAAGAGGGGGGGAAUAUGGGAAAAGGGGCGAAAGCCUGAACCAGCAAGGCGGGGGGAGGGAGGAAGGCUUUAGGGUUGAAAGGCUUUUUUCCCCGGGAUGAAAAGGACAGGACGGGGAGAAAAAGCUCCGGCUAACCCCG
rnacentral:rRNA from 1 species